GGGGAGUCCAUACCAGUCAAGAGGGGCUGCUACUACCCAGCUAUGUGGGUCCAGAUCUCUAGACUGUUCAAAGAGAUUUUUGAUGUUAGCUUGUCUGAUAUUUCACUGUUGAUAAGUUAUUCCAAUAUUUAAACAGCUGUCGGGCCACACAAAACACAUCUGGGGGCUGGAGUGAGUUUGCACCAGUUUGCAACCUGGCACAACAUGGGUGUUCUGUAAACAGAAGCACCUGUGCCUGCUGCCUGAUGUCUCAGGUGGGCGGUGCUUCAGGGACGUGUCGGGCUGCAUGGGCUGGCUGUGUGCCCCGGAUUCCCAGGAUGGACGAGAAGGCCUAAGGGAAAGCUGUGUCCGAAGGUCAUGUCUGGGAUUCUUGGGGCUUGGACGCACCAGGCUGCUGCUUCAGUGUCUCUCCAGCGGCAAUACAGCUGUGCCGCAGGGCCGCACCGUGGAAGCCCCUGGGAGCUUUCGUAACGCUGCGUUCCUCCACCGAAGCUGCUGCUACCGACAGGAGGCCCCUGGCCACUUGGAUGACGGCCGUCACGUGAUUCCCACACAAACGCCGGGCUGUGGUUCACCUCUGCACCGGGCUCUGUGUUGUAGCGGGAUGGUGUUGGUGCCUUGCCAAGAACCUUUCACCGUACAACCCCCUUCCAGCUGCUGUGGGUGCCGGCUGCUAACAGCUCACAGCUGCCCCCUUGGCUGAAUGGGAGCCACUCCACCUGGCUGAGUGGGAGACUCUUCACCUGGAUGAAUGGGAGAAACUCCACCUGGAUGAAUGGGAGAAACUCCACCUGGAUGAAUGGGAGAAACUCCGCCUGGCCAAACAGAAGCCACCUCAUCUGGCCAAAUCAGAGCAUCUCACCUGCUCCUUGAGCAGCCACUGACUGACUGACCCAGGCUGGCCCUCCCUCCUCAAUCUGGGAUGAGCUCUGUGGCUCAUGUUUUGCUCCAGAGCUCCCUGUGGGAUCAGCCCAGAGGCAGUCUUGGGUUGAGACCAUGAGCUUGCUUUUCUUUCCACCCUCGCUCUAUUCUGCCCUUCCCUCUCUCCCCUUCUCUGGACAGCUGUCCGCAUCUCAGGCUCUACUUCUGGGGAAUUCAGCCUAAGACAAGUAUCCGACAUAUUUUAUAUUAUCAACAACCUCGGAACUUCUCAACAACACGCUGACAGGGAAUUACGAUUUCUUGUCUGCAGACGUGGACGUGAAGGCUCAGAGAGGUUAAUAGGCAGCCGAGGGUCACGUAGCUGGACAGGUACAAGAGCCAGGCGUCAAAUCCAGCAUUUGCUCAAAGCUCAUGCUCCUAACAGUUAUGGUCUAACACCUUUCCAUAGGGUCAAUGUCAGAUAUUUUGAACCUUAAAUAUUUGUUUUCUUCUUUUCUCUUCUUCGGGAGUCAAAUGUGGGUUUCUUUUUUUUUUUUUUUUAAUUUUUUGAACGUUUAUUCAUUUUUUGAGAG